GUUAAAAGAUUGUUGCAGGCAUAGGGGAAACCAGCCAAGAAAUGGAUCCUUCUGGAUGGCCCCAUGAAACUGUGCUGAGAUCAGGAACCGUGGCAACAGCUCCCAUUGAAACAUGAUAGCUGUGUGGUUACGUCAUGGCUGACUUCUUUCUGUGUCUUCCUGUGGUAAGGCACAUAUAAUUUU